rnacentral:rRNA from 1 species
CGGACGGGUGAGUAACACGUGGGAACGUGCCCUUUGGUACGGAAUAACUCAGGGAAACUUGAGCUAAUACCGUAUGUGCCCUUCGGGGGAAAGAUUUAUCGCCAUUGGAGCGGCCCGCGUCUGAUUAGCUAGUUGGUGAGGUAAAGGCUCACCAAGGCGACGAUCAGUAGCUGGUCUGAGAGGAUGAUCAGCCACAUUGGGACUGAGACACGGCCCAAACUCCUACGGGAGGCAGCAGUGGGGAAUCUUGCGCAAUGGGCGAAAGCCUGACGCAGCCAUGCCGCGUGAAUGAUGAAGGUCUUAGGAUUGUAAAAUUCUUUCACCGGGGACGAUAAUGACGGUACCCGGAGAAGAAGCCCCGGCUAACUUCGUGCCAGCAGCCGCGGUAAUACGAAGGGGGCUAGCGUUGCUCGGAAUUACUGGGCGUAAAGGGAGCGUAGGCGGACAUUUAAGUCAGGGGUGAAAUCCCGGGGCUCAACCUCGGAAUUGCCUUUGAUACUGGGUGUCUUGAGUAUGAGAGAGGUGUGUGGAACUCCGAGUGUAGAGGUGAAAUUCGUAGAUAUUCGGAAGAACACCAGUGGCGAA